UUCAUUUUGUUGUUUGUGGCUCUUGUGUCACAGCCAGGAAAUCACUGUUAAAUCCAAUGUUGUGUUGCUUUUGUCCUUUGCUAGAUGGGAAGAG